UACGAAGGGGGCUAGCGUUGCUCGGAAUCACUGGGCGUAAAGGGUGCGUAGGCGGGUCUUUAAGUCAGGGGUGAAAUCCUGGAGCUCAACUCCAGAACUGCCUUUGAUACUGAGGAUCUUGAGUUCGGGAGAGGUGAGUGGAACUGCGAGUGUAGAGGUGAAAUUCGUAGAUAUUCGCAAGAACACCAGUGGCGAAGGCGGCUCACUGGGCCGAUACUGACGCUGAUGCACGAAAGCGUGGGGAGCAAACAGG
rnacentral:rRNA from 1 species